GAAUAUGCAAAUUACUAGUCUUGCUAUUCAGGUAGUGCAUAUUACUGUUGCUACCAACAGAGGGCACUACACAAGCUCCAUAGCCAAAUCCACCUAGUUGGUAACAAUCCUCAGCAGUACAGGAGAGAAGGCAAUACAUCCCAGGGGCCAUAGUCACAUGGCAGGAGGCUAGCAAUCAGUCUUCUCCAAUGCCCAGUGGCGAGGUUUGUUCCGCCACAGGGUAUAUGUGGG